AGAACUUUCCAGAGAUGGAUUGGUGCCUUCGGGGAACUCUGAGACAGGUGCUGCAUGGCUGUCGUCAGCUCGUGUUGUGAAAUGCUGGGUUAAGUCCCGCAACGAGCGCAACCCUUAUCCUUUGUUGCCAGCGGUUAGGCCGGGAACUCAAAGGAGACUGCCAGUGAUAAACUGGAGGAAGGUGGGGAUGACGUCAAGUCAUCAUGGCCCUUACGAGUAGGGCUACACACGUGCUACAAUGGCGCAUACAAAGAGAAGCGACCUCGCGAGAGCAAGCGGACCUCAUAAAGUGCGUCGUAGUCCGGAUUGGAGUCUGCAACUCGACUCCAUGAAGUCGGAAUCGCUAGUAAUCGUGGAUCAGAAUGCCACGGUGAAUACGUUCCCGGGCCUUGUACACACCGCCCGUCACACCAUGGGAGUGGGUUGCAAAAGAAGUAGGUAGCUUAACCUUCGGGAGGGCGCUUACCACUUUGUGAUUCAUGACUGGGGUGAAGUCGUAACAAGGUAAGCGUAGUGCU
rnacentral:rRNA from 1 species